GAUGAACGCUGGCGGCGUGCCUAAUACAUGCAAGUCGAGCGGACAGACGAGGAGCUUGCUCCUCUGACGUUAGCGGAGCACGGGUGAGUAACACGUGGAUCACCUACCUAUAAGACUGGGAUCACUACGGGAAACCGGAGCUAAUACCGGAUAAUAUAUUGAUGCGCAUGGUUCAAUAGUGAAAGACGGUUUUGCUGUCACUAAUCGCUGGAUCCGAGCUGCAUUAGCUAGUUGGUAAGGUAACGGCUUACCAAGGCAACGAUGCGUAGCCGACCUGAGAGGGUGAUCGGCCACACUGGAACUGAGACACGGUCCAGACUCCUACGGGAGGCAGCAGUAGGGAAUCUUCCGCAAUGGGCGAAAGCCUGACGGAGCAACGCCGCGUGAGUGAUGAAGGUCUUCGGAUCGUAAAACUCUGUUAUUAGGGAAGAACAAAUGUGUAAGUAACUAUGCACGUCUUGACGGUACCUAAUCAGAAAGCCACGGCUAACUACGUG
rnacentral:rRNA from 1 species